CAGAAGGGGAUAACACUUGGAAACAGGUGCUAAUACCGUAUAACACUAUUUUCCGCAUGGAAGAAAGUUGAAAGGCGCUUUUGCGUCACUGAUGGAUGGACCCGCGGUGCAUUAGCUAGUUGGUGAGGUAACGGCUCACCAAGGCCACGAUGCAUAGCCGACCUGAGAGGGUGAUCGGCCACACUGGGACUGAGACGCGGCCCAGACUCCUACGGGAGGCAGCAGUAGGGAAUCUUCGGCAAUGGACGAAAGUCUGACCGAGCAACGCCGCGUGAGUGAAGAAGGUUUUCGGAUCGUAAAACUCUGUUGUUAGAGAAGAACAAGGAUGAGAGUAGAACGUUCGUCCCUUGACGGUAUCUAACCAGAAAGCCACGGCUAACUACGUGCCAGCAGCCGCGGUAAUACGUAGGUGGCAAGCGUUGUCCGGAUUUAUUGGGCGUAAAGCGAGCGCAGGCGGUUUCUUAAGUCUGAUGUGAAAGCCCCCGGCUCAACCGGGGAGGGUCAUUGGAAACUGGGAGACUUGAGUGCAGAAGAGGAGAGUGGAAUUCCAUGUGUAGCGGUGAAAUGCGUAGAUAUAUGGAGGAACACCAGUGGCGAAGGCGGCUCUCUGGUCUGUAACUGACGCUGAGGCUCGAAAGCGUGGGGAGCGAACAGGAUUAGAUACCCUGGUAGUCCACGCCGUAAACGAUGAGUGCUAAGUGUUGGAGGGUUUCCGCCCUUCAGUGCUGCAG
rnacentral:rRNA from 1 species